ensembl:lncRNA
CUGAAGGUCUGUGUGAACCAGCUGUGUGGGGGGGCUCUACAGCACUGAAGGUCUGUGUGAACCAGCUGUGUGGGGGGGCCUGAGACAGGAGAGGGGAGAGGGUUCCGGUGCGGUGGAAAACAUCCUGCCUUGCUACGCUACCAAAGAAGUCGUUUCCAUCUGCCCCAUGAUGAUGACUUCAGACUGCUUUCCCCUUUACAUCCCCCAUCCCAAGUCCUGGAGUAGACUGGUUUUUGGCCCGUCUCAGACCUCAGAACCGGUCACUCCCACAUGCCUGGCAAUCUCCUCAUCUCUCUCACCUGGUAUUCUCCGCCCAUCUCUGCACCUGCAACUCAUCUCCUCAUUAGUAUCCGUGUAUUUAUACCUGUCCACUCUCACUUGUUCUCUGCCAGAUUGUCUUGUGUGUUUUUGCCAAACUAUCUCGCGAUUGUUAGUUUUCUAUAACCUGACUACCCUGUGUUUAGACCGUUGGACUGUAUCUUGGAUCGAGCCUGCCCUUCGUCGGAUUUGUCUGCUGGAUUGUUUGAUCUCCCGGUUCUGACCGUGCCUGCCUGUCCAUCGGAUUCUGAUUACUCUGCCUGCUCCUUGUUGGAUUGUUUGUACACUGGAUGGAUUUCCUGGUUUUGAC